AGCGCAAUCGGCUAGCGCGUUCGGCUGUUAACCGGAAGGCUGGAGGUUCGAGCCCUCC
rnacentral:tRNA from 1 species